rnacentral:lncRNA from 1 species
GCCAGCCAAGCUUGGAGACGCUAAGGAAGCAGAGGCUGGCCAAGCUGCAGGCGAAGCACAGGGAUCCUGGCGAUGCAGCACAGGAAGCAAAGCACAAGGGAAACAGAAAUGAGAAACAGUAUCUUGGCCCAAGUUCUCGAUCAGUCAGCCUGGGGCCAGGUUAAGUACUUCAGCACUUGUAAAGCCCCCAAAAAACUAAAACAGUAGAAAAUUACCUUGUACAGAUGGCAAGAUAUAGACAACUCAACGGGAAGAUAUUAGAACAAGGCUUAACAGAAAUCCUUGAAAAAGUGAUUCAACAAACAAAAAAGAAAACAACAGUUAAAUUCAACAUAAGAAAAGUAAUGGACUCUAAUGAAGAUGACAAUGACUAAACUAAAAAUAUUUAGAGACUG